GACGAACGCUGGCGGCGUGCUUAACACAUGCAAGUCGAACGGUAAGGCCCUUCGGGGUACACGAGUGGCGAACGGGUGAGUAACACGUGGGUGAUCUGCCCUGCACUUCGGGAUAAGCCUGGGAAACUGGGUCUAAUACCGGAUAGGACCACUGCCUGCAUGGGUGGUGGUGGAAAGCUUUUGCGGUGUGGGAUGGGCCCGCGGCCUAUCAGCUUGUUGGUGGGGUGAUGUCCUACCAAGGCGACGACGGGUAGCCGGCCUGAGAGGGUGACCGGCCACACUGGGACUGAGAUACGGCCCAGACUCCUACGGGAGGCAGCAGUGGGGGAUAUUGCACCAUGGGCGCAAGCCUGGUGCAGCGACGCCGCGUGAGGGAUGACGGCCUUCGGGUUGUAAACCUCUUUCAGCUAUGACGAAGCGCAAGUGACGGUAGUAGCAGAAGAAGGACCGGCCAACUACGUGCCAGCCGCCGCGGUAA
rnacentral:rRNA from 1 species